UCUAUGUCUUUUUAACUAGAUUUUUUUU
rnacentral:piRNA from 1 species